UAGGUAGGUGGUUACGUAUGUCUGGGGUGAAAUCCCUGAGCUCAACUCAGGAAGUGCCUUGGAAACGGCGUAACUAGAGUGCUAGAGAGGUUCGUGGAAUUCCCAGUGUAGCGGUGAAAUGCGUAGAGAUUGGGAGGAACACCAGAGGCGAAGGCGGCGAACUGGAUAGCAACUGACACUGAACUACGAAAGCGUGGGUAGCAAACAGGAUUAGAUACCCUGGUAGUCCACGCUGUAAACGAUGGGUACUAGGCUUCGUGGGAGUUGACCCCUGCGGAGCCGGAGCUAACGCAAUAAGUACCCCGCCUGGGAAGUACGGUCGCAAGACUAAA
rnacentral:rRNA from 1 species